rnacentral:misc_RNA from 1 species
CCGAAUGUUACCAAACAAACCACUGUGAACCGUCCCUUUAGCUGCUUCGGCGGGCGAUCCCAGGGCGGGAUCCCGGGCUCCUUACGGGGUGCUCGCCGGCGGCCACUUUCUAGCUCUGUUUCUAGCGGGCUUCUGAGUGUAAACAAAAAUAAAUCA